UGCAGAGACACACAGCGAUAGAGAAUGCUACGGCUGAAUCUCACAAACUGCAUCACAGCCUAGAGGUGAAACCUAAUUGGAUUCGGCUAUACAUCACCAAGGACAGCAGCAGAUCAACUAGAGCAAGAAGACCACUUCGUUCUCAAUUGGAUCUCAAAAGAUGCUUUUGUCAGUUGGCGGACACCCUCGUGCCCACGUCGUGCCUGGUUAAGCUGAAAUCAGACCUUGCCUACCAAUUCGGCCGCGGACACCAUGGAAAGCUCUUCAGAUUCCCACAGGCACUUCAAAUCCAGGUGGACUGAAAUCGUUGGGAAAGUUAAUGCUUUCUCCAAAUAUAUUUAGUCAUCUCCAAAUAUAUUAAAGAAAAUGGGCGGAAUGUCACUAAUUUUGAGGCAGUGGUUUUAUAACAAAUACAUUAAAUGGCAGUGGAAUUUUCAUGGAAUUUUGUGAUAGAAUUUAGAAUGUGGUGUGUGAUCACUUAAACCAUGUGAAGUGGCUCAUUGUAUGCGUAUGCGCUAUUUUUACAGUUUGGUCAUGUGAUGCUGUUAACCAAUCAGAGGUUGUUAUUUUUCUGAGCAGUUUUAUAAUUCCUCAGGUGGUGCUAUACAAGUGAGGAU